CGGGGUAUAGCGCAGUUGGUAGCGCGCCUCGUUUGGGACGAGGAGGUCGGAGGUUCGAAUCCUCCUACCCCGA
rnacentral:tRNA from 1 species